rnacentral:lncRNA from 1 species
UCUCCAAAUUUAUUGUUGAACAUUCAGAACAUCAAAUUAUGACAGAUUAAAAAGAAAGCACCAAAUAAUGCUACACAUUAAUACCUGAGCGGAGACUGAAGGCAAAUAUUCGUCUAUUAAACCCUAUACCAUAACAUUGAAACACAGAUAAAAACAUUCACAACACUCUACGGAGUACAAUAAAUAGCACUUUUUGUGAAUUACAACUAGUAUUAUAGGAUGAAUUGUUUUGCACUGCUAAGUAUUAUGUGCUACAUUUUCUGAAUAAAAUUACUGAUUUGCAAAUUAAUGAUUACU